AAGACCUUGUGCUUUUGGAGCGGCCGAUGCCUGAUUAGCUAGUUGGUAGGGUAAAGGCCUACCAAGGCUACGAUCAGUAGUUGGUCUGAGAGGACGACCAGCCACACUGGGACUGAGACACGGCCCAGACUCCUACGGGAGGCAGCAGUGGGGAAUUUUGGACAAUGGGCGAAAGCCUGAUCCAGCAAUGCCGCGUGAGUGAAGAAGGCCUUCGGGUUGUAAAGCUCUUUCAGUCGAGAAGAAAAAGUUGUGACUAAUAAUCACAAUUUAUGACGGUACCGACAGAAGAAGCACCGGCUAACUACGUGCCAGCAGCCGCGGUAAUACGUAGGGUGCAAGCGUUAAUCGGAAUUACUGGGCGUAAAGGGUGCGCAGGCGGCUCUGUAAGUCAGAUGUGAAAUCCCCGGGCUUAACCUGGGAACU
rnacentral:rRNA from 1 species